AUCGAACGCUGGCGGCAUGCCUUACACAUGCAAGUCGAACGGUAACAGGUCUUCGGAUGCUGACGAGUGGCGAACGGGUGAGUAAUACAUCGGAACGUGCCCGAGAGUGGGGGAUAACGAGGCGGAAGCUUUGCUAAUACCGCAUACGAUCUCAGGAUGAAAGCAGGGGACCGCAUGGCCUUGCGCUCACGGAGCGGCCGAUGGCAGAUUAGGUAGUUGGUGGGAUAAAAGCUUACCAAGCCGACGAUCUGUAGCUGGUCUGAGAGGACGACCAGCCACACUGGGACUGAGACACGGCCCAGACUCCUACGGGAGGCAGCAGUGGGGAAUUUUGGACAAUGGGCGCAAGCCUGAUCCAGCCAUGCCGCGUGCAGGAUGAAGGCCUUCGGGUUGUAAACUGCUUUUGUACGGAACGAAAAGACUCUGGUUAAUACCUGGGGUCCAUGACGGUACCGUAAGAAUAAGCACCGGCUAACUACGUGCCAGCCGCCGCAGUAAUAC
rnacentral:rRNA from 1 species